CCUGCACCUGCUACUGAAGAUAACAGGCUGCAAUAAUUCACUGUCCAGAUGCAGCAAGGAGCGUGGAAGAGUUUGAGGACAUCCAGGAUGAGCUCCCUCUUCUUUGCCUCCAGAGUCUCCUCCAAGGUUGCCUCUCGAUUCCCCUUCCCUUCUUGAUCCCUCACUUUGCCUCCCCCUCUGCCAACCCCUCCCCAGCAACUGAGUGGCAGAAACAUCUCUCC
rnacentral:lncRNA from 1 species